GAACAGGACUGCUGAAAAUACAGUUGACAACUUCCCGUUUAUUUACAACUAUGGACCGUUCUUAAUGUGGUUCUGUCAAGAUGGUGAGUCAAUUUCCAAGUAAAUUGUCAGGGGGAAAGUAAGCUAUUAAUAUUAACAUUCAAUAGAUUGGAAUGAAAUGUAAUGUAAAAGUUAGUCUCACACAACCACACCAUUGGCAUACAUAUCCAUUCUCACACAGACAACCUACGCCCAGGCCACGUAGCUCGUACCACACCUACGUCUAUGUGUUUGUCAUCUUUCCCUCUGUCUUUGCAUGUGUUGUAGAUCAUCGACCAGGAUAUCAACCCCUAUGUGGACCAAUGGGAGGCAGAGGGGAUAUUUCCUGCCCACAAAGUCUUCAAGCUCUUGGGAAAUGCUGGCUUUCUGGGUGUCAACAAGCCAGUUGAGUAUGGAGGCCUGGGUCUGGACUUCAGCUACAGUAUAGCCGUGUCAGAGGAGCUGGGAAACAUCCGCUGUGGAGGCAUCCCCAUGGCCAUCGGAGUCCAGACUGAUAUGGCCACACCUGCCCUGGCCAGGUUUGGCUCUACAGAGCUGAAGAAGGAGUUUCUGCUGCCCUCCAUAAUGGGAGACAAAGUGGCCUGUCUGGGAGUGAGUGAAGUCGGAGCCGGCUCAGAUGUUGCUAGUACGUUGCCUUCAUUUA